rnacentral:rRNA from 1 species
CCUACGGGCGGCAGCAGUGAGGAAUAUUGGUCAAUGGACGAGAGUCUGAACCAGCCAAGUAGCGUGAAGGAUGACUGCCCUAUGGGUUGUAAACUUCUUUUAUAUGGGAAUAAAAUGUUCCACGUGUGGGAUUUUGUAUGUACCAUAUGAAUAAGGAUCGGCUAACUGCGUGCCAGCAGCCGCGGUAAUACGGAGGAUCCGAGCGUUAUCCGGAUUUAUUGGGUUUAAAGGGAGCGUAGGUGGAUUGUUAAGUCAGUUGUGAAAGUUUGCGGCUCAACCGUAAAAUUGCAGUUGAAACUGGCAGUCUUGAGUACAGUAGAGGUGGGCGGAAUUCGUGGUGUAGCGGUGAAAUGCUUAGAUAUCACGAAGAACUCCGAUUGCGAAGGCAGUUCACUGGACUGCAACUGACACUGAGGCUCGAAAGUGUGGGUAUCAAACAGGAUUAGAUACCCUUGUAGUC